UACUUGGAUAACUGUGGUAAUUCUAGAGCUAAUACACGCAGGAAGGGUGCAUUUAUUAGAACAAAACCAAUUUUGGUGAAUCUGAAUAACUCACGGUCUCGUACUGGCGACGUAUCCUUCAAGUGUCUGCCUUAUCAACUGUCGAUGGUAGUUUAUAUGACUACCAUGGUUGUAACGGGUAACGGAGAAUAAGGGUUCGACUCCGGAGAGGGAGCCUGAGAAACGGCUACCACAUCCAAGGAAGGCAGCAGGCGCGCAAAUUACCCACUCUCAGAGAGGAGGUAGUGACGAAAAAUAACGAGACAGUUCUCUAUGUCAUCGGAAUGGGUACAAUUUAAACCCUUUAACGAGGAUCUAUUGGAGGGCAAGUCUGGUGCCAGCAGCCGCGGUAAUUCCAGCUCCAAUAGCGUAUAUAAAUGUUGCUGCGGUUAAAAAGCUCGUAGUUUGAUCAGCUAGACACUGGUUCCCUUCACGGGAUUGUUAGACGCCCUUAGUGCUCUUCAUUGAGUGCUUGGGUGUCUAGCUCGUUUACUUUGAAAAAAUUAGAGUGCUUAAAGCAGGCAUUUGCCUGAAUAGUGGUGCAUGGAAUAAUGGAAUAGGAGGUUCUAUUUUGUUGGUUUUCGGAGCAUGAGGUAAUGAUUAAGAGGGACAGACGGGGGCAUUCGUACUGCUACGUUAGAGGUGAAAUUCUUGGA
rnacentral:rRNA from 2 species